rnacentral:tRNA from 1 species
AAUAAAGUGCCUGAUAAAAAGGAUUACUCUGAUAGGGUAAAUUAUGUAAAAAAUUACCUUUAUUA